UGAAAACUAAAUAAAAAAGAAAAGAAAAAGAAGGCAGAGAUAGAGGGCGAGAGGCCUAGAGUUCUGGAAUCUUGCCUCUCAACCUCUAUUUUCUCUCUUUCUCAGUGUCUAGAGAAUUUUUGGAACGAGAGAGCAAGCCACGGUUGCCGAUGGCUUUUUUAGGACGUCUAUGGUGGUAUAUCAGCCGAUUUGAAUAGAGCAAAGGGGGAUGGGUAGAUUGGAGUGAGGGAAGGCUUUGAGUUGAAAGGUGUGGAAAGGACCCUUUGAAGACUUCUCAUACCCUCUGCCAUCCCUUCCAAGAUCACAGCCAAGCGUAUGAAGGUUGAGAGAAUGAAAUGGAAAAGCAGAAGACUGAUUUGUGGCUUUAGUGGUUUUCUUUCAGCUCACACGACAGGUGGCAUGACAAUAUCACUUGGUAAGAUAAAAGAUUUAUGGUGGUGACAAGUUUUCUGCUGAACUUCAAGAUCAAACAUUCAAAAUUAAUCCCUUUAAGAAGAAAAGAUUGGAUCAACUUUAGCGUGCAAGGACAACCUGGAGAGAACUAUAGUGCUUUGCUGUUAUAGUGCUACUGCAUCAAUAGAAAAGGAGAUUCAUUGUAGCUCUUAGAAAAGCUCUUGGGGAAGUUUUUUUUUUAUAAUAACUUUUGGAAGUUUUUGGAGAGUGAUUAAUGAUUAGGUUAUACUUUUACAUUGUAUAGCUCUAAAAAGAUAACUUAAUUAUAUAGAUAAAUCAGUAUCUUAGAGAACUAUAGUGCUUUGCUGUUAUGGUGCUAUUGCAUCAAUAAAAAAGGAGAUAUACAUUGUAGCUCUUAGAAAAGCUCUUGGGGAAGUUCUUUUUUUUUUUUUUAAAUAACUUUUGGAAGUUUUUGGAGAGUGAUUAAUGAUUAGGUUAUACUUUUACAUUGUAUA